GUUUACCAUCAUUGGACGGUGUGUCGCGCGAAAUAAUUACGUCGAUAUCUCCAAGGUCAAGGUCACACUUUGAGUUCAAAGGUCAAAAAUGGCCAUAAAUGAGCUUGUCCUGGCCAUAACUAUGUCAUUCAUUGUGAGAUUUUAAAAUCAUUUGGCACAUUUGUUCACCAUCAUGGGACGGUGUGUCCCACGAAAGAAUCACGUCAAUAUCUCCAAUGUCAAGGUCGCCACGACUAAAAAUAGAUUUAAAAAAAAAAAAAAAUUACAAAGGGGGUUAAUUUUUUUUGGUCAUUUCAAAAGUU